ACGGAGGGUGCAAGCAUUGAUCGGAAUUACUGGGUGUAAAGGGCGCGUAGGCGGCAGAAUAAGUCGGAUGUGAAAUUCCGGGGCUCAACCCCGGAGCUGCAUUUGAAACUAUUCAGCUAGAGGUUAGUAAGGGAAAACGGAAUUCCACGUGUAGCGGUGAAAUGCGUAGAUAUGUGGAAGAACACCGGUGGUGAAGACGGUUUUCUGUGCUAAACCUGACGCUGAGGCGCGAAAGCUAGGGGAGCAAACAGG
rnacentral:rRNA from 1 species